AAUACAGAGGAAAUUUGAAUGUGAAGAGAGUCCAAUUUGAAGACAAGUACUUCAGCUGGGCAGCUUUUGGAGAUGCAAUUGAGGAUGCUAUCAACAGAGGAAAUUUCUUUGGUUAGCAACCCUAUGCUAGAGUAAGUUCAGCAAAUAGACGGGAUUCGUUUAAUCUCUUAGGAUAAUGGGAUCCAGGUAAGGCAGCCCAACCUAACAAUUGAAUCUGCUGUUGCCUGUUGAUGGUCAUGAUGACUCUUCUGUGAUAAAAGUUUG
rnacentral:misc_RNA from 1 species